rnacentral:rRNA from 1 species
AUGGGGGGAGGUGCUAUGGAGGUGGACCUGACCCACGGCGCGGUGGCGGUGAUGUCGCGGUUCCAGCGAGGCCUGCGGCCCGUGCUGCAGGUGGUGGGCGCCCCCGCCCGCCGAGGCGGCACGGACCGGUACCGCUUCCUGCUCUCCGACGGCGUGCACUCCCAGGAGGGGAUCCUCGUCCCCUCCCUCGACAGCCUCGUCAGGACCGGCCGCCUCCGCGACGGCAUACGCGUCCUCGACUACGUCUGCAACUCCGUCUGCAGCCGAAGGGUCAUCAUUGUUAUCCAACUUGAAGUGGUGCAAACUGAGUGCACACUGAUCGGGAGUCCUACAAGUUAUCAGCUCAAUGCUGCUCAACCAAAUAUCAGAUCCUGUUCUGGUGGCCUAGGCAUCCAUGGGUCAAGGACUGAGCAAGGUAUUAAUGACAUGGCAUUUUCUCCUGAUCAAGAUCUAUUGCGCUCUUCUAUUGCCGCAAGGGCAGAAAAUGCUGUUAACAAUCUGUCGUUCAGUGGACUUCACGGUUCAGUGCUAAAGCAAAACACAAUAAAUGCCAAGAUGCAGCAGCUUUCACUGAACUCUCAUCAAGGGAAAAUGCCUGCACUUCGUCCCACUGGUUGGAGCUUUGGCCCUCGCCCUGCAGAGUUUUCGUGUGAGCAGCCACCUCCAGUAUGUGUGAACAGAGGAUCUGUUCCUAACAAUGGCACUCCUUCUGUCAUCCCUAUCGCUGCCUUGAACCCAUAUCAAGGGUAG